AUUCUUUGUGUUUUCCAUUAUUGCAAAAUUAAUAUAUAUAUAUAUAUACUUUUGAUCUUUUCAUCUCCAUGAAAAUAUUAUUAGCUUUAUUUUCAAACAGUUUUUGCAUUUAUUUUGCAAUUAUUAUAAAGCUCGAUGUUGUUAUAACGAAUACAAAAAAAAUGGUGUAAUUCUUUUAUCGUGAAAAUUUCUACUUCUCAUUCUCUAUUCUUUAUUUAUACGUACAAUACACAUAUUUGUGAUCUUUUGUAAUAGCCAGAAGAAGAGAGGGGGAGGGAGGAAACUAUAUAAGCUAAAAAAAGACGCAGAGGAUACAUUAAAGAUAGAACAACAACUCUGAUCUGACGCGAAUCUCGUGUUAUAAUAUUUAUAUAAAUUAAGAGUAGUACACGUAAUAUUUUGAGAGUGAAAUGAGAAUUCUUUUCUACGAUGAUUCCCACAUGGAUAGCCUCAAGAAGAAUGAUAUAUUCGUAAUUUUUUAAUUUUAUAGAUACGUAUUUAUAUAUACGUUCACGAUCGACAUAUGUGGAACAUUGUCUUACGAUGAACAGGAUUAUAUUAAAAUUUGAAUCGAAGCCACGAUUUGGCGGCUCGCCAGCAUCCGUGUUCAUCAACCGGUUGCACGGUAACACAGGUCUCUGCAACCGAGGAGUUUUAACGAUCAAUUAAUUCUUAAUCGUGUUAGUGCUCGUACAAUCCAAUUUUCCGUCGCGGGAAACCGCAACCCUGCACAGAAAUCGAUUAAAAAAAAUUGGAUCGUUGACACGAGCUUGUCAAUUGCCAUCCCUUUAAUCCUCUAUUUUAUUUCUAUUUAAAAAAAAAAAAAAAGGAAAAAGAAAUUAUAACAAGAUUACAAAAGUUAAAUUUUUUUUACAGAGAUACUAGAAUCAAAAGAAUAUAUCUUCACGCGAUAAUUAAUAGUUAUUGAGCCAACGAGUUAUUUUCAAAUUUGAAAUCGAUUCCAAUUUUCCAAUAAAAAUGUAACUAUCUUCUGUUCACAGCGCGAUAAAAUAGAAAAUUUAUCGUUUAAUUUUAAUCACACGUUUAUUAAUAUCGACAAAUAGUAUUUUUCUUUAUUAUUCAAAAAAAAAAAAAAAAGAAACUAUUCUCUCACAAACGUUCUCAAAAACUCGAAAAUAUCAUCGAUAUAUUUGUUAUGGUCGAGUUCUCUGUACUGUGUUUUUGGGAGACGGAAAUCCGGUCGACCACGAUCGAUUCACUUUAUUCACGCAUCCCUCCAACUGUCGGACGGGGUUUCGUCGUUUCACGCGUGCUUCGGCUAUCAUUGAUAUUUACGAGCCACGUAACGUCGCGUCCACAGAGCACCACCCACCCAAUGCUAAAUCCCCUCGAGUUUCGCAAAUUAAACGCACCUGUAGACCUGCAGCGAGCAUCGUAUAUAAUCUCGGUCGAAGCGGCAAAUCUAGCGUUAUAAUAAACGCGAUUUCCAACCGUUUCCAAAGCAGACUCUGUGCGGAGUCAGUAAUUAAUACCGGAGUGGAAUUAAUUCUCUGUAAAUCAUUGCGCCCGCGUAAAUUCUAAAUAAAGUUCCCCAACAUUCUACAAGUGUGUUCAAGUUGGCCCCUUCGAAGGUUGGAGAAACUGGGGGGAAAUGUUGUUGGCCCGUUCAUUUAUUAUAUAAUAAAGAAAAUAGCUUUUAUCGCAUUUGGGAAGUAAAUAUACCCCCCGCUGUUCGAAUGCAGCUUUGGAGUCUAAUAACGAAUGCAUAGGAAAAGAGAGAGGAGAGAAAGGGGAGAAAAAUAAAUAGGGAUCUUUGGAGGGAAAAGAGAUGAAGAAAGAAGUGUUGGAAGAAUUCGACUGGCUCGGAUGGCGGACGGCUUUGAUUAAUUUAAAUUAGACGAAAUUUCCAAGAGCGGCCCAUUGUUCUCCGCAUAAAUAAAGAUUAAGACGCGAGAAUCCAGGAUUAAUUUAUUCAUAGAUCAAUUAAGAAACGCGAGAAACGGGGGUAAAGCGGAAAUAAUUCAUCGGCAAACGGAACAAAAAAGCGUUAAAGGAUAAAAAACCGGAAAAUGGUUCCGGCGAAAGAAAAGAAUAUUAAUCCAAAUGAAGUCGUGCCGCAUAAAAACGAAUAUUUCCACAAUGCUUGCUGUUGUUCAUGACAGAUUUAUUCGUUGUUAUUGUUCUCGCGAAAAAAAAAAAAGAAAAGGAAAAGAAAAGAAAACAUUGACGAGAAAUUAAAUCUUAAAUAACUGAGAGAGAUCAGAAGACGAUUUGACAAAGAGUAUUCAUUUCGAGCUAACAAUUUUCUUAUCAACGUUACGUAAUCGUAUCAUUCGUCAAUUUUAAUAAUUUAUCUGAUAAAUAUAAUUAUGAAAAUGAAAAUGAAAACGAGAAAAAUUCGAAUCGUUUAGAUAUCUCUGAAUUUAUAGAGUUUUGGGUAUCCUUUGAAGAACUCGCAAAUAUUUUUCCAAGAUUUCUACGAUGAAGAAAAAAGUGUUUCUUUACAGUGCUCUGUUACGUGAUAACCCGAGCAACUGCGUGAAAAAAGCAAGACGAAAAAUGAAAGCUGACGAAUCAUGGCCCAGCUUUGAUGCUUUUGAAAGGGGGUAAAAUUAUACCAAAGCUCGCGUACAAACGCAUUUUUACAUUGGAGAAAGAGAAAAGGGGAGAAGGAGGUGGAAAAAAAACGAGAAGAAAAUCGGAAUAUAUCGUGGUAAAGUUCGGUGUUACGUGUCGCAUGCGAAUUCAGGUGAAAUUGAAAAAAAAAAAGGAAUAUUGCAAGGAAUAUUGCAUUUAUAUUAUAAUUUUCAACAUAGUUAUUAUUCGAUUUGCAUAUUCUCCAACAACCCCCUACUAAUUAAUAGCAGUAACUUUACCAAAAGCUUGAUUAUACACUGCAGAUGUACUUUUUUCCCCAGUGGCUCGAGGUUUCGGAUUACACAUGUAAAUGCUGGAUGAGGAAUGAAACGAGAUUAUGAUGGCGAGUUUUGAAUGGGAUCCAUAAAGCUAGUUUCGGAAUAAUCAACUUAACUUUAACGCAAUUGUGCAAAACUAACCACGAUUCACCAGAUCGAUAUUUUACUCGUGAAUAUUUUAAUUUCGAUUAUUAUUGCCAUCGGACAAUUGAGAUCUUCAAUAAGCUUUAUUAAUGACGUAUAACUUCGACGAUUCUCUUCGAUGAUUUAUCAGAUAAAAUAUCAGAUAAUAGAAUUCUAAUGGAUCGAAAGAUAUUACUUUAUUAUUUAUGCGAUCACCGAUAAAAUAGGAUCUGGUAAAUUCGAAUAAUAUUUAUUUUUGAAGCAAUUGGGGAAAGACGAAGGAUAGAGUUUGUUAAAAAUGUUAAAAAAUUUAAUUGAAUUUAAAAUUAUAAUACGCGAUAAAAUAAUUAUCGACCAGUUAUUCACUCUAUGUUUACUAACUUGCAAAAAAUUCCAGGGAAGUUGAGAAGAGACAGAGCUUAGAAAAUUUGUAAAAAUAUUGUAUCGAAAUUCUAUCAACGAAAUUCUAGUUUUGCAAUCGGAUAAUAUUACAAAUCGUUGUAAAUUAAAUUGUACAACGGGAGAAAUACGGGGAGCAAAAUUAAUUACAAUGUUACACGUCGUGUGAACGUAAUAUGAAAUUCCUGCCAUGUAAAAGCAUCCUAAACAUUAUAACGUCGGUAUUAAAUUCCAUGGUGAGCGAAACCUUACGUGAAAAUCUCUCUUUAUAUACAAUGUUAAUUUACGAUACGAGCUUGAUUAAAAUCCAUCUUCUCUUAAUUCAUCGUAUAGAAGAAAUUUCCCAAUUAGAUCUCUUUCAUUUUCUCGUCGAAGAAAUUCUCUUUCUUCUCUAUCUAAAAUUUUUAUAUCGGAUAAGAUCAAUUAUUCUUGAAAGUAUAAUUAAAAAUAAAUACGUAUAACGAAGAUACACUUUU